rnacentral:rRNA from 1 species
AUUGAACGCUGGCGGUAUGCUUAACACAUGCAAGUCGAACGGUAACAGGCCUUCGGGCGCUGACGAGUGGCGGACGGGUGAGUAACGCGUAGGAAUCUGCCUCAUAGUGGGGGACAACGUGGGGAAACUCACGCUAAUACCGCAUACGCCCUACGGGGGAAAGCGGGGGAUCUUCGGACCUCGCGCUAUGAGAUGAGCCUGCGUUAGAUUAGCUAGUUGGUAGGGUAAAGGCCUACCAAGGCGACGAUCUAUAGCUGGUCUGAGAGGACGAUCAGCCACACUGGGACUGAGACACGGCCCAGACUCCUACGGGAGGCAGCAGUGGGGAAUAUUGGGACAAUGGGCGCAAGCCUGAUCCAGCAAUGCCGCGUGGAUGAAGAAGGGUCUUCGGAUUGUAAAGUCCUUUCGGCGGGGACGAUGAUGACGGUACCCGCAGAAGAAGCCCCGGCUAACUUCGUGCCAGCAGCCGCGGUAAU